AAAACUUUUAGAAAAAGGAGAAGACACAUACUUGUAUGCUAGGCUGGAGCAACUUUAUAGUUCAGAUAGACUCCAAACACUUCCAUGCCGGUUAAGAAAGGUCGAGGCAAAUCUCCCAAUAAAACCAUCAAAAGCUCAAGCAAAAGCCCUUCAAAGACACGAGCAAAAAGUACUAACAGUCAUAAAGCUGGGUCAGGAAAAAGCAAAAAGGGCAGCGGAAAGAAGAAGAGACGCUCAGCCAAGACCCCAACCAGAGCUCCAGUUGUUGACCCCUUUAGUAAGGUGGCGAUGGAGAACGCCCUGUUGGUCUGUCAUUCCGCUGAACAGUUUCUUAGCAUAAGGGGGUUCCCAUACUCCGGUACAUUGUGCAAAGGAGGCAAAAAGGGAGGCGGCAAGAAGAAAAAGAAGGGGAAGUGAAGUCGGGGGAUGAAAUAUUAAGAUAUUGGUGGAGAUAUCUAUAAAUGAUUGAAUGUUCGCAACCAAAAUAAUGUAUCUUCAGAUUUAGUCGUAGGUCAGCUUGGUUCAGAAAUCAGGGAGGACUAGAUGUACCUAUACGAAUUGCGAUCAUAUCAAUGAUGCACGAUUAGAUGGACCAUUAUAGCUGUGAUUUGAGGAAUUAGUUAUGGGGAA